rnacentral:tRNA from 1 species
GCCUGGGUGGCUCAGUCGGUUGAGCGUCUGACUUUGGCUCAGGUCAUGAUCUCGUGGUUUGUGGGUUCAAGCCCCGUGUUGGGUU